UGAGGCAGGAGAAUUGCUUGAACCCAGGAGGUGGAGGCUGCAGUGAGCCAAGAUCGUGCCACUGCAUUCCAGCCUGGAUGACAGAGCAAGACUCCAUCUC
rnacentral:miRNA from 1 species